CGUUCGUAGCUUAAUUGGAUAAAGCACCGAGCUACGGACUCGGGGAGUGUGGGUUCAAGUCCUGCCGAACGUG
rnacentral:tRNA from 1 species